rnacentral:tRNA from 1 species
GCGCGGGUAGCUCAGUUGGUUAGAGCACUGCCCUGAUAAGGCGGGGGUCCGGGGUUCAAUUCCCUGCUUGCGUA